GACGAACGCUGGCGGCGUGCUUAACACAUGCAAGUCGAACGGAAAGGCCUGCUUUCCCUUGUGGAUUGCGGGUACUCGAGUGGCGAACGGGUGAGUAACACGUGAGUGAUCUGCCCCCAACUUGGGUAUAAGCCUGGGAAACUGGGUCUAAUUCCCGAUAGGACUGCAGGGUGGUGCCUGUGGUGGAAAACGCUUUUCUAGUGGUUGGGGAUGAGCUCGCGGCCUAUCAGCUUGUUGGUGGGGUAAUGGCCUACCAAGGCGGCGACGGGUAGCCGGCCUGGGAGGGUGGACGGCCACAUUGGUACUGAGAUACGGCCCAGACUCAUACGGGAGGCAGCAGUGGGGAAUAUUGCACAAGGGGCGGAAGCCAGAUGCAGCGACGCCGCGUGGGGGAUGACGGCCUUCGGGUUGUAUACUCCUUUCGACCGCGAGGAAGCCACCUGGUUGGAAGGGUGGUGACGGUAGUGGUAGAAGAAGCACCGGCUAACUACGUG
rnacentral:rRNA from 1 species